AUGGCACUUAAUAAUGAUGCAAAGAUGGUUUUCAUUGAGAAAUAUAUGGAUGCGGCGGAUGAAAAGAAUCGUGAACUCAUUAAAGAAAGGAUGACUCUGUGGGUGAAUAGUUGCGAUGCAAGGAAUGAAGCUGCGAGGAACUCUGGACGGUUAUAUUUUUCUGAUGACUCAGAUAAUGUCAUCGCUGAAACGGAAAAUAAUUUUGCCGAGAUGAAAAGGGCUGAACUUGAUUGUAGAAGUGAUCUAGGUAGGCAAAUCGCAUUUUAUGCAACUAUGCUAGAAUAUCGUCAGAUGGACUUGAAUAGGCCUGGACAGAUCAUUGACUGGGCAAUCAAUGAAGCUAUGUCCCCGAUACCGACCCAGGCUGCUCGUUGGGAAUGGGUUCUUGAAGUACCGGGUGUCAUCUAUUGCAACCCUGGACCAAACAAUGACAUUCAAUUGGAACAUAUCCCGCUAGAUUAUGAGCCCGACUUAUCGCUGCUAUAUAUCGACCCAAGCUCCUCGAUGCUACCUACUGACCCAAGUUCCUCGGUGCCAGAUGGGGCCAAUGCAAGCAAGAAGAAGAAAAAGAAUGAUUCACAAAAGAAAAAUAAGAAAGAGAAUUCACGCAAGAAAAACUCGAGGGGUUGA
rnacentral:rRNA from 1 species